rnacentral:rRNA from 1 species
UACGAAGGGGGCUAGCGUUGCUCGGAAUGACUGGGCGUAAAGGCGCGUAGGCGGCUUGCACCGUCAGAUGUGAAAUUCCUGGGCUUAACCUGGGGCUGCAUUUGAUACGUGUGGGCUUGAGUGCGGAAGAGGGUCGUGGAAUUCCCAGUGUAGAGGUGAAAUUCGUAGAUAUUGGGAAGAACACCGGUGGCGAAGGCGGCGACCUGGUCCGUGACUGACGCUGAGGCGCGAAGCGUGGGAGCAAACAGG